AAAAUUUCUGUUUUUUAAAAUGAGAGAUAGAGAUCUAUAUUCCACUACGGUUACAUAGAGUAACAUUUCUUUCUUUGGAUUGUUUUUGGAAAACUUAAAAAAAAAACCAAAAAUAAUUCCACACAAAAAAGUUAUAUCAUAAAUCGUAAACUAUCACAGAAAUUUAUUUCGAAAAGAACUAAACAUUUCUACUUGAGACAUCCACGGGACAGCUAACAUAAGGAUUGCAGUCAAUUCAAAGGUAAGCUCUUUAAUUUAUAUUCAAAUUAAGUCAAUAUUUGUUUUUAAUAAGAAGAACUGAUCAUUUCACCAACCUUUAUCAUUAGCAGGAAUAUACAUUUUAUUCAAUACCAGAAGGUGUUUGCAGAUCCAUUCUUAAUUUUGCAAAACCCUUAUGACACAGGUAAUGGAGAAAUAUAUGGAGGGGAAGGGGGAAAAAAAACCCCAGAUGAUAAAAUCCUGUAUUUUACAGAUUGACUGAAAUAAUUUUAUUUUACCCCUUGGGACAUACCUACAGUGAGCACAUACUGAACGUUAAAGAAUUGGCAAUCUUCCAUGUAUAUUUGUAGAGUGUCCAGAUGCAACUGUCAUUGAUAAUCAUGCCACCUCGUUAUAAUUUCAGUGGAGUU